AUUCCUAUCUCAAAUUCAAAAUUCAAAACCUUUCUUAUCUCAACUUAAACCCCCGACAUUUCAUCCCCUCAAGACCCGCGCCUCCUAAAUCCCCCUCCAUCAUCUUUUUCUCUCGACACCUCCGGUCAUUCACUAUAGCCAUCUGGAGGUUGAAAACCUAAUUCAUGGAGAUUACGAACAGAGCACGGAUCAGGACUUGAGCAUAUCCAACAAGGCUUGAAGGUAAUGUUUAUACGACUUUGUGUUUUACUAUAUGAUUUUUAUGGUUUUUUCUAGGGUGCUCAAUGCCAUUCUCGCCUAGCCAAUCAUCACAAGAUUUCACAGUUGGAUUGGAUUUCACUAAUAGCUGGUAUGUAUUCUGAUUUGACUAGGAGCAAGUUAUUGAUGUGGGCCCUAAGAACACAUUAAUAUCGGCUAAUGUGUGUAGCUUCCAGUUCUGUGAAGGGCAUUUUGGAUGGUUCAACCUCUUCUGUAUCUUCCUCACCAAUAAACAAUACCCCUUAGGGGAAGAGUUUAGUUGAAAACCUUCUCUAGCCCUUCCUGAAGCAGGGUUAAUGAAUCUUGGUAGAACUUGUGCAGGCGCAGGCCGCACAACCAAUAUACCCUCAAUGUUCAUCCCAGUUACCUCUUGUGGUAACAGGGUCGAGAGCUAGGAUUUGGUUGCCAUGACAAAAUGUGGCCUUCAGGCUAGAAAUUUGUCACUCAAGAUAGAACAAAUGGCAUCAGGAAGAAGAAACGAUUUGAAUGUUGUAUUAUCAUCUGUUGGCAGUGCAAAUGAUGUUAUAUAUACAACACUUUUUUACAAGUUUUAGAUGUCGCCUAAGCUAUUUUUAGCAGCAAAUGUGAUAAGAUUUUCAACAUUUUCUAGAGGCAUUUGAAUACAACCUCAGUGUACACAGGCUGUUUUUUAAAAAAUCACCCGCAUUUGAGUUUAGAUAGUACAAUACUACACUCACUGGUCAACAUUUGACUCCUUUUUGGGAACCAAAUAUUAUAAUUUCUGAUUUGAUGUUGUCACUAAGGUAGUUUGGAAGAAUAUAGGGCUCUAUAUAAUGUACAGUUAGUGGUGAAGCAUAAGCUCUCGAAAAAAUAUGAUGUUUUUAGCCAAUCUGUAAUGUUUUAUUUGAGUUUCUAUCUGAUUUUGUAGUUGAGGAGGUAUGAAGUGGUGAUUUAGACUCUUACAGCUGAUAAAGCAGAUACAUCCACAAGUUCUUCUUCUAGGCCAUGGAGAUCACAUAUUAUCAUUAAAUCCUACUUUUAUUUACGAAGGCUAGAUGAGGCGAUCUAGAGUUCAUACAAAAACAAGAGAAUUCAUACCAUGUUACAAAAAGUGAAGGAAAUACAACCCAUGAAUCAACAAUACCUUGAGCUGAUGCAAUACGUGAGCUUUUAUCUCAUAUAGCAAGAAAUGAAGCAUAUAAAUUUGGAAAGCAUUCAAAAGCAGUAGAACAUUAUACUGCUCCUUUAUCUUGCAGCUUUGAAUCUCCUCCAUUUGCAUCAAUAUACUUUUGCAAUCGCACUGCAUCGUACAAAGCUUUGGGUUAAAUCAUAGAUGGCAUUGCAAAUUGCAGCCUAGCUAUUGCCCUUGAUCUAAACUAUCUCAAGGUUCAUUUAUGUUCUAUCCAAUGCGUCAAAUGGGUUAAAUCAAAAUAUUUAUUUAUUUAUUUAGUUAAAAAGGGAAUGGGUGAACAGUUAUCUAAAGUGUUUUUAUUAUUUGUAAGAGGUUGUAAAACGAUGUAAAUUGAUUGUAAAAAGUUUAUGUAAGUAUAAGACCAUUAUGAUACAAUUUGGGCUUGAUAUGUUUGAUAAU